GCUUUCGUGGUGUAGUGGUCAGCACGCUCGACGCGUAACUGAGAGGUCCGUGGUUCGAUUCCCGGCGAAGGCG
rnacentral:tRNA from 1 species